rnacentral:lncRNA from 10 species
GGAAAUGGCUCUUGACAUCGUAAAUCACAGAUGUUUGUUUUCAUGGUGUUUUAAAUUCCAGUGACUUCCGGAAGGUGGGAGCCUGCAGGCAUGGCGGAAGAGACCACUGAGUUAUGGAUCAUAAAUCACUGGGGCCACUUGUGGAACCCAGCCUAAAAUCGCCAGCAGCCAAGAUGAGGCUGCCGGCUGUCCCCUGUCGUUACGCCUUGUGAGGUGACGGAGAACAAGGGGUCAGAAUCACCCUAACAAGGCUGCAUCCACUGCUACUGGAAGGAGGCUGGAUGGCGCGGUCAUGCUUCCUAUGCACAGGCAUACAGUUUGCCUUCCCCUUAGGCCACUGUGGGAUGAGAAUUCCAGGAGAAAACGCAGGAAGGAUGCUUGUUAUUUAAUAACAAGCUUGAGGAAAUCACAACAGAGAGGAGGAAGCAAACAGGCUGACAAGUCAGGAUGGCAGCGUGGGGGCCAGCGCCCCCAGUUCACCCACCAUGGGCAUGAUCCAGGAGGCCAGGCAGGGCUGGAAUUAAGAGCACAGGUUUUGGAGUCUCCCAAUCUCACCUGGAAUUCCAGCCGCACCUCUUACUACACACUGGCCUUGGGUAAAUCAUUCUGUCUCUCCAAUACUUAGUGUUCCUUAUCCACUAGGGGGAUUAAAUGAGAUUCCGGAGUGCCCAGCACACAGCCCAUCAAGACCUGUAGGUGUGCCACACUCCACGUUGUCACCAUGACAUCAGCAACCCCUCCUCUUCCCCCACGGAGUCUUCCCCACUUUCUGAAGUCUGAAGAACUGGGACUGGAACAUGUCCAAGGGGCUGCUCGUCACUGCCGGAGGGAUAACUGUUCAGACACUGUCGUCACACAGUCACAGAAAGACUCAGAACUUCAUUGCUACUUUAUUUGUUGUUUUCUGCCUUUAGGAUACUUCCUUAUGAUAAAAAAUGUGAUAUUACUAAAAAAAUAUUAAAAAGUAGGGAGAAAUGCUACCAAGUAUACUCCACAUUUUGGCUUACUUUCUUCCAGAUUUAUAAUGCGUAUUUUGGAUGUAAUUGAGAUUCUACUGCAUGUACAUUUUAUUCUGGUAUUUCACAGGACAUGAUAAGGUAAGCAUGCUGUCAUGCUGUUAAAAACUCUUCAGAGACAUCAUUAAAUGGGCACAUCCUAUUCCAUGGUAGGGCUACACCAGGCCCCCAUUGUUAAAUAUUUAAAUUGUCUCCAAUAUUUUACUGUUGGAAGUCACACUGUCAUAAGAUACUUGUGCAUACGUCUUUGCAUUUUUGUUUAUUUUAUUUGAGCAGAAAUGGGGCUAAAAGUUAUGGAUAUUUUUAAGAUUCUUAAUACAAAUUGCCAAGUUACAUUCCAGAAAAGUCUGGCCAAGUCUUUCCUGUGGCUAGGGUUUAGGAGUUCCUGCUACACACUCACAUCCUCUCCUUCAAUGGCUUGUCCUUAUUCAUCAACAAGCAAAAUAGGGCACUUGCCUUUUUCUUUUUAUCUUUUUAUUUUGAAAUAAUUUCAAACUUAGAGAAAAGUUGCAAGAACAGAGAAAGACACUCACAUAGAUGCUUCCCCUAGAUGGUCCAAUUGCUAACAUUUUUGUCAUAUUUGCUUUAUUAUUCCUCAAUAGAUAGGUAUGUAGGCAGAAAUAUACAUAUGUAACAUACAUACACAUACAUAAACACACAUAUAUUUUUUUGGAAUCAUCUGAGACUAAGUUCCAAACAGGAUGUCCUUUAUGCCUAAAUACUUCAGCAUGUAUUUUAUAGAAACAAAGACAUUUUCAUAUACUGUGAUGAGCAAAAUAAGAAAUUUAACAUGGACACAGUACUGUAACUAAUCUGUAGGCCUUAAAUUUCACCCCAUGCCCUUUAUACCAAAAAAAAUUUAAUAAAAGGGAGUUCAGGAUUCAACCUAAGUCAUGCAUUACACUUAAUUGUCAUAUUUCUUUAGUUCCUUUAAUCUUUAGUUCCUUUAAUCUAAAACAGUUCUCUCCAUCCCUCUGUCUUCCAUGACCAUGACCUUUUUAAAAAGAACAAGCCAGGAUAUUUGUAGCAUGUCCCUCAAUUUGGGUUUGUCUAAUAUUUCCUCCUGAUUAGCUCAGAAUCACGCAUUUUGGGCAGGAGCACCACGGAAGUGAUGUUGGGUCCAUCUUGGGAUAUCACAUUGGGUGGCGUGUCCACAUUUGUUAGUUGGCAUUAUGUCCUAAGGAAAAGUUUUCCUCAUUCUGCCCCGUUUAUUCACUAACUUCCGUAUGUCGGUAUAGACUCAUGGAUUCUUAUUUAAGCUGUUAAUGUCUCCUCUCUUUUGAUGCUCUAAUUAUCCGGGAUUUAGGCAGUAGGAAGCUCUUGGAUGGGACUUCUGUGUCCUUUGACACGACCUCGUCCUUCUGAGAGCAUGACUUUCUGGCACCAGAUGUAGCAAGAAGCUCUCUUGUGCUGACUUUGCCUUUGAUUCCUUUCAGUAAAGCACAAUAUUAGAAACCAAAAUCUAGAUGCUAGACUCACAUAUUGCUCUAGGGGUGUCAUUAUUUCUAAGUCCUUUCAGCAGCUCUCGAGUUGGGAUAUGUACAUAUGUGUGUAUGUACAUAAUCCAUAUUAUAUAUACAUCCAUACAUGUACAUAUGAUAUAGAUGAAUAAAUAUAAUCAUAUUAACAUGGUAUUUCUUUUUAAAUUAGAAUUUUUUAAAUUAUUGCUGAGGUUGAACACUUCCAAAUGUUAUUAGGGUAUCAUACGGCUCCUUUGCACACCUGUCUAUCAGAGUCUUCGCAUUUCUUUAGAUACAUAUUUAAAUAUGGAUAUUAAGGAAAAAUACUACAUUCGUGGUAAGUACUUUCCCAAAUUUAU